AUGGUAAAAAGCAGACUAUUCAAUAUAGACAUAACCGGGUUUUCCCAGUCUGAAUUUCUCAUUCUUUGGCGAAAUCUGUUCAUUCGAAGCGGGAAAAACUUAUAGGUAUGUUGACUUUGAAUAUAACCACACAGCUAGUGUUUUGCAAAGUGAAUUGCUCUUACUUGGCCAAUAAGCUUAGUUGUCAGUGGUUCUAGAGGCAAAAAACCAGACUUUAAUGUAUAGACAAAACAUGCAUUUCCCAGUCUGAACCACACAUUCUUUGGCGAAUCGUGUUCGUUCCAAGCGGGAAAAUUUGUAGGAAGGUGACUAAGAAGAAAAACACACAGCUAGUGUUUUACGAAGUGAAUUGUUCUUACGUGGUGAUUAAGCUUAGUAUUGAGUGGUCCUAGAAGGCAAAAAGCAUACUUUUCUAUAUAGACAAAACAUGCGUUUCCAAGACUGAAUCACACAUUCGUAGGUGAAUCAUGUUUGUUCCAAGCGGAAAAAGUUUGGUGGAAGUUGACUUUGAAGAUAAACACACAGCGAGUGUUUUGCAAAGUGAAUUGUUCUUACUACGCGAAUAUUCUUAGUUUUAAGUGGUUCUAGAGGGUAAAAAAGCAGACUUUUCUAUGUAGACAAAACAUGGUUUUCCCAGUCUGGAUCUUAUUCUUUGGGGAAUUUUGUUCAAUCCAAGCGAGAAAAGCUUGUAGGAACUUGAAGUUGAAGAUAAACACACAGCUGGUGUUUUGGAAAGUGAAUUGCUGUUACUUGGCCAAUACAUUUAGUUUUCAGUGGUGCUAGACGGUAAAAAGCAGACUUUUCAGUAUAGAAAAAACAUGGUUUUCCCAGUCUGAAUCUCUCAUUCUUGGGCGAAUUCUGUUCAUCCAAGCAGGAAAAGCUUGUAGGAAGUUGACUUUGAAGACAGACACACAGCUAGUAUUUUAGAAAGUGAAUUGCUGUUGCUUGGCCAAUAAGCUUUGUUUUAAACGGUCCUAGAAGGCAAAAAGCAUACUUUUCUAUAUAGAAAAAAAGUGUGUUUCCCUGUCUGAAUCAAACAUUCUCAGGCGAAUUCUGUUUGUUCCAAGAGGGAAAAGCUUGUAAGAACUUGACUUUGAAGAUAAACACACAGCUAGUGAUUUGCAAAGUGAAAGGUGUUACUUGGUGAAUAAGAUUAGUUUUAAGUGGUUCUAGAGAGUAAAAAGCAGACUUUUCAAGAUAGACAAAACAUGGUUUUCCCAGUCUGAAUCGAACAUUCUUUGGUGAAUUCUGUUCAUUCCUAGCCAGAAAAGCUUGUAGGAACUUGACUUUGAGGAUAAAAAAAACAGCCUUUUUUUUCGCUUUACAAAGUGAAUUGUUCUUACUUGGCGAUUAAGCUUAGUUUUAAGUAGUUCUAGAUGGUAAAAAGCAUACUUUUCAAUAUGGACAAAACAUGG
ensembl:lncRNA